ACGAACGCUGGCGGCGUGCCUAAUACAUGCAAGUAGAACGCUGAAGAGAGGAGCUUGCUCUUCUUGGAUGAGUUGCGAACGGGUGAGUAACGCGUAGGUAACCUGCCUUGUAGCGGGGGAUAACUAUUGGAAACGAUAGCUAAUACCGCAUAACAAUGGAUGACACAUGUCAUUUAUUUGAAAGGGGCAAUUGCUCCACUACAAGAUGGACCUGCGUUGUAUUAGCUAGUAGGUGAGGUAAUGGCUCACCUAGGCGACGAUACAUAGCCGACCUGAGAGGGUGAUCGGCCACACUGGGACUGAGACACGGCCCAGACUCCUACGGGAGGCAGCAGUAGGGAAUCUUCGGCAAUGGGGGCAACCCUGACCGAGCAACGCCGCGUGAGUGAAGAAGGUUUUCGGAUCGUAAAGCUCUGUUGUAAGUCAAGAACGGGUGUGAGAGUGGAAAGUUCACACUGUGACGGUAGCUUACCAGAAAGGGACGGCUAACUACGUGCCAGCAGCCGCGGUAAUACGUAGGUCCCGAGCGUUGUCCGGAUUUAUUGGGCGUAAAGCGAGCGCAGGCGGUUUGAUAAGUCUGAAGUUAAAGGCUGUGGCUCAACCAUAGUUCGCUUUGGAAACUGUCAAACUUGAGUGCAGAAGGGGAGAGUGGAAUUCCAUGUGUAGCGGUGAAAUGCGUAGAUAUAUGGAGGAACACCGGUGGCGAAAGCGGCUCUCUGGUCUGUAACUGACGCUGAGGCUCGAAAGCGUGGGGAGCGAACAGGAUUAGAUACCCUGGUAGUCCACGCCGUAAACGAUGAGUGCUAGGUGUUGGAUCCUUUCCGGGAUUCAGUGCCGCAGCUAACGCAUUAAGCACUCCGCCUGGGGAGUACGACCGCAAGGUUGAAACUCAAAGGAAUUGACGGGGGCCCGCACAAGCGGUGGAGCAUGUGGUUUAAUUCGAAGCAACACGAAGAACCUUACCAGGUCUUGACAUCCCGAUGCUAUUUCUAGAGAUAGAAAGUUACUUCGGUACAUCGGUGACAGGUGGUGCAUGGUUGUCGUCAGCUCGUGUCGUGAGAUGUUGGGUUAAGUCCCGCAACGAGCGCAACCCCUAUUGUUAGUUGCCAUCAUUCAGUUGGGCACUCUAGCGAGACUGCCGGUAAUAAACCGGAGGAAGGUGGGGAUGACGUCAAAUCAUCAUGCCCCUUAUGACCUGGGCUACACACGUGCUACAAUGGUUGGUACAACGAGUUGCGAGUCGGUGACGGCGAGCUAAUCUCUUAAAGCCAAUCUCAGUUCGGAUUGUAGGCUGCAACUCGCCUACAUGAAGUCGGAAUCGCUAGUAAUCGCGGAUCAGCACGCCGCGGUGAAUACGUUCCCGGGCCUUGUACACACCGCCCGUCACACCACGAGAGUUUGUAACACCCGAAGUCGGUGAGGUAACCUUUUGGAGCCAGCCGCCUAAGGUGGGACAGAUGAUUGGGGUG
rnacentral:rRNA from 1 species